rnacentral:rRNA from 1 species
CCUACGGGAGGCUGCAGUGAGGAAUAUUGGUCAAUGGGCGGGAGCCUGAACCAGCCAAGCCGCGUGAGGGAAGAAGGUACAGCGUAUCUGUCUGAAAGUAUCGUACGAAUAAGGAUCGGCUAACUCCGUGCCAGCAGCCGCGGUAAUACGGAGGAUUCAAGCGUUAUCCGGAUUUAUUGGGUUUAAAGGGUGCGUAGGCGGUCGGAUAAGUUAGAGGUGAAAUCCCGAGGCUCAACUUCGGAAUUGCCUCUGAUACUGUUCGGCUAGAGAGUAGUUGCGGUAGGCGGAAUGUAUGGUGUAGCGGUGAAAUGCUUAGAGAUCAUACAGAACACCGAUUGCGAAGGCAGCUUACCAAGCUACUUCUGACGUUGAGGCACGAAAGCGUGGGGAGCAAACAGGAUUAGAUACCCUUGUAGUC